UACGGGGGGUGCGAGCGUUGUCCGGAAUCACUGGGCGUAAAGGGCGCGUAGGUGGUCUGAUAAGGGUGUGGUGAAAGUCCGGGGCUCAACCCCGGAUCUGCCGUGCCGACUGUCAGACUCGAGGACUGUAGAGGCAGGCGGAAUUCCGGGUGUAGCGGUGGAAUGCGUAGAGAUCCGGAGGAAGACCGGUGGCGAAGGCGGCCUGAGCUGGGCAGUUACUGACACUGAGGCGCGACGAGCGUGGGGAGCAAACAGGG
rnacentral:rRNA from 1 species